GCUGAUGGCUAUGAAACCAUUCCUUUAGAUCAUACAAGUGUUUCAUCAGGUAAAAGAAGCAUUGAUUCAAGUGGGACUGCAAUUGGGCCUGUGGGUGAAGUCCCUGCUUUAAGAAGUGAAAAGGAAUCUUUAGGGAAGCAACCAGAAGUCAGGCCUGAGGCAUAUACUGAAAGCAAUGAUGAUUCCGGUGAUACACCUAUUUUGCAAUCACUGCCAAAAGAUUCCAAAAUUUCAUUGAAGCUAAAGAUUAAAAAACCUAAUCUUCUUAACCAGUAUUCUCAAAAGCCUCCACCUGAGGAAGAAAGGAGUUCCAUACGGGGCCAAAGGUCAAAAAGAAAGAGACCAUCAAGCUUGUUGGAGAGGACACCUUUUAAUGAAUAUGAAGAUGUCAUGCAAUCACAUCAAGACAGUGAGAUGAUGGAAGCUAGUUGGA
rnacentral:misc_RNA from 1 species